rnacentral:rRNA from 1 species
UACAGAGGGUGCAAGCGUUGUUCGGAAUCAUUGGGCGUAAAGCGCGCGUAGGCGGCCAUCCAAGUCGAAUGUGAAAUCCCUGAGCUCAACUUAGGAAGUGCAUUCGAAACUGUUUGGCUUGAAUCCUGGAGAGGGUGGUGGAAUUCCCAGUGUAGAGGUGAAAUUCGUAGAUAUCGGGAGGAACACCAGUGGCGAAGGCGACUAUCUGGGUUGUAACUGACGCUGAGGCGCGAAGGCUAGGGGAGCGAACAGG